rnacentral:rRNA from 1 species
GACGAACGCUGGCGGCGUGCUUAACACAUGCAAGUCGUACGGUAAGGCCCUUUCGGGGGUACACGAGUGGCGAACGGGUGAGUAACACGUGAGUAACCUGCCCACAACUUUGGGAUAACGCUAGGAAACUGGUGCUAAUACUGGAUAUGUGCUCCUGCUGCAUGGUGGGGGUUGGAAAGCUCCGGCGGUUGUGGAUGGACUCGCGGCCUAUCAGCUUGUUGGUGGGGUAGUGGCCUACCAAGGCGGCGACGGGUAGCCGGCCUGAGAGGGUGAGCGGCCACAUUGGGACUGAGAUACGGCCCAGACUCCUACGGGAGGCAGCAGUGGGGAAUAUUGCACAAUGGGCGCAAGCCUGAUGCAGCAACGCCGCGUGCGGGAUGACGGCCUUCGGGUUGUAAACCGCUUUCAGCAGGGACGAAGCUUUUUGUGACGGUACCUGCAGAAGAAGCACCGGCUAACUACGUG